ACCAAAUGAGUGCAAAUUACUAAUCAGCCGCCUCUGUAUCCGUGUAGUUAGCUGCAGCUGUGCAGCCGGCCUGCCUCCACCUCCUGACACAGCUGCUGAUCUCCAAUCAGAACUUCCCCCAUCGAUGAGCAGAAUCAAGACAACAUUAUGGUGAUGUUCAAAUCGGAGUUGCUGUGAGGCUCACCCACAUGAAUUCCUAGAGACAGUUUGACAUCUUGUUUUCUUAGUAUGAGAGCUGCCGGUGCACAGAGACAUCAUCAUCGAGCAGAAAGAAAACCUACUGGGCUAACCAGCUAAGAAGGGAGAAGUGUGAGGGCGAUGUCCGGCUGUGUUAACUACACUGGCCUGUUUCACAUCAGGAAGCCUGAUUCUGGAGGGAAAUCAGCUGAUGUAGCUCUCCUGGAUCAACAACACGACCUCACUCACUAUCCUCCUCCAGCUAGUUAUGCGAUCACCAGCAGCAGCUACAACAGCGGACUUUUGUUGUGUCUGUUUUGUGUGUUUUUAGUUUUGCUCUGCAGAGGCUGGGCGUGGCUUCCCUGCUGGCUGGAGUCUCACACACCUGCAGCACAUUUGAUCAUCAGUGCCAGCUCAGAUACUCUGCUCUCUGUUCACUGCUGGAUUAUUUUGUCUUGGUGGUGUGGUACACAGCCUCUGUGAUAGCGCUGUCUCCUGUGAUUCAAGUCGCUUGUGUCAGUGUGUUUGUUGCCUCGCUAACAUCCAAGUUUCAGCUUGCCUGCACCUCUGCAACCUGCCUUCACUCCACUGUGGAUCCCUGGUGUUACUCCCUCCAGAGCCUCGCUCUAUACCUCAGCUGAUGCCAGUGUGAGUCCCCGCCACAACCCUGAGCCACUUGCUGUACCACCUGCCUGAGCUUGAGCCUGAGCCACUUCUACUGCCUCCCUCCAUUGAAAAUAAAUUCCUCUAACCAUCUCCCUGUCUUGGUGUCCACUUUUGGGUCCUAAAAAACACCAAGUACAAACAGUCACUAGCAUUGUGAUGCUGAAAACACUUUGUCCCACUCUCCUCAAAAUGACUUUCACUACCAUAAUGUGACCCCAUUCAGUCCUAUAACAUAGAAAGUCUAGAGCCACACGAUGAAUUCAUUUAACUUCCGAAAAAGCAUUUUGACUACAAAUGGCCUCAAAAUCUGUUUAAAGCAUCAGCAUUUAAGGCUGCAAGUACUUCAGUGCUUUUAUUUACUAUCAAGUCAAACACUCCAUAGAAUAGGCGAGCAGGUGGAGUGUGAGGACCAGCCUGCAGGGAGAACCUCACACUGACUGCAGAGGAUGAUGGAGUCCCUGCAACAACACAAAGUGACCCGCCAGCAAGGGAGAUUAGAGAACAACAUUUUCAAAAUAAGAGAACCAGAAGCCAAGUAACAAUUAAUGAUUGAUUA